CGAGAUACAUUAUCAGGCUUCAAAGAGGCUAGCGCUUGGUUAUCAUACUUAGAUUCAUUGCCAAGAGCAAUGACUAAAUCUGUUUGUAUUAGUAAACUUACACUCCUGUCACUGUAGUUUUUCUCUGUUGAAGCAGUGCUGCCAAGUUUCUCCUUUUACCAUGCAUAAAUUAAUGACUUGGUUAUAUAAAUGCUUCUUGUGCAUGUUUUAGAGUGAGUGGUACUUACCUUUAAGAUCUCAUGUUAGACUCUCCUCUGUAUUUAAGUGUUGACCAGGCUCCCUGUGACCCACGCUGACUGUCAGUGACAGCCUUGUCAAAGGGCUGCCUGUUCAUGUUUAACCAAGAGGACCAGCUGCCUGCCCUUUCUAUUAUAACCCCUUUGGAAAGCUCACAGUCCUAUUUGCAGUUGGGAGUGAGCGCAGUAAGCAGCAGAGACAGUGUCAGACAGAGUUCAGACAUCGUCGUUAACAGUAGCUGCAAACUGACCAAAUUGUUGCCAAGUUGCCGACGAUUUUUGCCAGCUUUGUCCUUCAGCGUUGUCCAUCUUCCAUCAGAAAUCGCAUCAAGGAAAACGACUGUUGUCCUGAAAUGAGAUGGAAGGCAGUCACUGUGUAUUUUUGUAAAUUUGCCUGAUCUGGUACUGGCUGGCAGAAGAACAGUUAUGCCCCACAUGGCACAUGCUAGCAGCACUCUCAGAUCACCAUCAUUGUCCCGAGCUAUGGUGCUUUCAGUCUGUCUGACUGGCAGCCCUUAAGUGAACCAGCCAAACAGCCAUCCAUUCACAUAAAUAUCAAGCCAGAUAGCUCCAGAAAGGCAGCUAGUUAGUGGUCUGUUGCUGGGGCGGAUAUGGCACAACUCCUCGGUGAAAAUUGUCUCCUGAGCCCCAAACACAGCUGUGUUUAUUCCUUGUAAGAUACCACAGCUACAGAAUGCCAGGACGAAGGUGCUGGGACAGAUCUAGACAUCCUAAAUGGAAAGAAAAAAAGGGACAUAUUAUUGUUGACGUGACUUCUGAGUGGGUUUUAAACAGUCCUAGUAUUAUGUGGGGGAUCCACAGGGCUUUUGGUUGUAGUAUCAGCGUCAGAAAUAAAAAUGUACUGCAUGCUUGUCCUCAAUUCAGGUCAUAUGUAAGAAAAAUGUUCAAAUCCAGUAAUAGAGCCUUUCUUUAGAGAGGAGGUUAGUGGUUGAGUUUGUACUUGUGAUACUUCUUAACAUUUUAAUAUGAAUGUUUUAAUGUCAAAUGAGCGUCACCUCUUCUCCCUUCCUACUCUCUUCCUCCCUCCCUCACUCUCUCUCUCUCUCUCUCUCUCUCUCUCUCUCUGCUCAGUGUUAUCUGGAACAUGCACAACUAAUUCAGUGUAACUGCAUAUUAUGGUAAUGGUGCUUUCAGUUUGCAGGCAGUCAUAAUGGUUUAGCCAAAACAGCAUGCUAUCCAGUCAGGGAAAGGAGCUAGAGACCCACUACGUCUUACUUUGUCUCUCACUCAUUUAGUCACACACAUAAACACACUCAAUACUUUCAAUAAGAAGUUAUAUUCAAGUAUAGGAGCACUAAGGAGAAUUGUAACUUAACAUACAUGUGUGAUGCCCUUAUCAUCAGUUCUUAAAGAGUCUCCUGUAUUACCCAAAGCCCAGCAAACCUGCGCUAAGCCUUCAUUGUCACUGUUAACUAAAAAAGUAAGUUAGUUCAGUCUAGUUUAUACGUCUGCCUUGAAUCCACACCAUGGGAGCCAGUCUCAAUAGCUGUGUCCAGAAAGCUCAGCAGAACACACACAGAGCUGUUCCACCCUGAAUGCUCCAACGCUACACAUUGACCAUGUCCGCUGUCUAUUUUGUGUUGUUGCGACUGGCGUGUAGAUUCCUAGUCACUCAAACUGGUAUUUAUUUGACCAGCGGACCAGUCUAAAGAUGAGAUAAGAAAAAGAGUGUGUCGCUAACGGUAGAGCGAACUCCACCAGCCUUCUCACCUUAUUGCAUAUAAACUUCUACUCCUAAUACAUUACUUCGAUCAAAUCACCUCCAUUUUCUAGAUCAACAUACUGCAAAACUGCUUCUAUCUGCAGUCUGUUCUGUUUACUUCUGGGUAUUAUAGCAUUGAGGCAUUAAGUAGACUACACAUCCAGGUCAUGGUGGGUGGCUGAAUGUAUGACUGGCGUUUAAGUCAACAUGAAAUAGGCAGAAAUAUCCAACUUGAACGGGCAAUGUGUAAGAGCCUGUAAAGGCAUUUGUUUUGGUAAAAGUAAGUGGCUGCAACAAAACCAUGAUCUACACACUCGCCCAGACUCUAAAUAACCAGCUGUCUUUUUUAAGUUUGUAUCUCAGGCACAUGGAGCACAGAAGUACUGAUAAACACAACAGUGUGAACACCUGUCACACUGUAAGCGAGGACUUGACUGUCUUUUUAAACGUUGGAGCUGUUUACAAUAAAGCAAGAAUCAAUCAUGUAAUGAGCAAAUGACAGAAAACGGUUGAAUUUGUCUUCUUUCUUCAGUCUGACAGUUUCAUCAACAUAAAGAAACAACCAUCAAUGCUAGCAUGUGAUAAAAAGACAAAAAACAAACAACAAAUCACUCUGAAUAUCACUCUGUAGUCUCCUGAAGAUGUUUCUAACUUUUAAUUCAACUUUUUCUUAGAUCGACAUCCAAAUAACUCUCACAGCUCAGAUUUAUCGAGGGCGAUUGACUCUUUACUCCACUAGCCCACUAGCCUGUAAGCCAUGGCAACCUAAAUAGAGGCCGUAGAUAUCUGCUGUAAUUCAUCACCGGUAUCUGCCCUAUUAUGAGUCACUUGUGUGUUCUAACCCAGUUUCUGAAAAACGCAGAGCAAGAUUAUGCCAACAGAGGCAGGAGAUAAAGCUGGCGAGAUUAUAGUCAGAGGGCCGCGAGAUGGACUUAGCUUGCCUUGCAGAGGUGGGAUUAAGGCAGCACAACAUAAAGACAUUAAAGGAUUUAUAUGAUCAUUGAUGAUCACGGGGUAUGAGAUGGAGAGUUGAAUAGAUGGUUGGGUAAACAGAGGAACGGGAGAUAAAGACGGCUAGACGUAACAAAACACAAGUGAAUGAUCCAUGGAAGGAGGAUGUUGAAGCUAAAAAUGUAGGCUGUCAGCUGACUUUGUGUAUCUUAUUUCUUCCCA